rnacentral:rRNA from 1 species
GUUCCUACGGGGGGCAGCAGUGGGGAAUAUUGGGCAAUGGGCGCAAGCCUGACCCAGCAACGCCGCGUGAAGGAAGAAGGCUUUCGGGUUGUAAACUUCUUUUAUUGAGGACGAAACAAAUGACGGUACUCAAUGAAUAAGCCACGGCUAACUACGUGCCAGCAGCCGCGGUAAUACGUAGGUGGCAAGCGUUAUCCGGAUUUAUUGGGUGUAAAGGGCGUGUAGGCGGGAAUGCAAGUCAGAUGUGAAAGCUAUGGGCUCAACCCAUAGCCUGCGUUU